rnacentral:rRNA from 1 species
GCUCUACACCCUUUGUGACAUACCUAUAACUGUUGCUUCGGCGGGUAGGGUCUCCGUGACCCUCCCGGCCUCCCGCCCCCGGGCGGGUCGGCGCCCGCCGGAGGAUAACCAAACUCUGAUUUAACGACGUUUCUUCUGAGUGGUACAAGCAAAUAAUCAAAACUUUUAACAACGGAUCUCUUGGUUCUGGCAUCGAUGAAGAACGCAGCGAAAUGCGAUAAGUAAUGUGAAUUGCAGAAUUCAGUGAAUCAUCGAAUCUUUGAACGCACAUUGCGCCCGCCAGCAUUCUGGCGGGCAUGCCUGUUCGAGCGUCAUUUCAACCCUCAAGCUCUGCUUGGUGUUGGGGCCCUACAGCUGAUGUAGGCCCUCAAAGGUAGUGGCGGACCCUCCCGGAGCCUCCUUUGCGUAGUAACUUUACGUCUCGCACUGGGAUCCGGAGGGACUCUUGCCGUAAAACCCCCAAUUUUCCAAAGGUUGACCUCGGAUCAGGUAGGAAUACCCGCUGAACUUAAGCAUAUCAAUAAGCGGAGGAA